GUUUCUGCUCUGAGAUUGGGUGAAUUUCUCAUAGAGUGCAAGCUGUCAGAGCGCGUCCAUCUAAGUCAAUAGAGGGACCCAUAGGCUACAAGCAGAGAUGAUGCAGGGUAUGCCAUACAGGAUUUGCAGACUGGGUAUAUCCUACUCCUGAACCAUUCUAUGGACUUGCUUCUCCAGUGAGACUAAAAGGUCACACAAGUUAAGACAGCUUGGUUCGAUUACAACCUCAUCUUAGAGGUCCCUCAGGUGACAGAAGAACAUAUUUACCUGUGCAUGUGGGAUCUCAUUUGACACCCAUAGGAAAGCAGAAGCAAAGUCCCCUGAACAUAACUGGAUUCUUCCCACUGUCCUUAGGGAGGUUUUGUUCCUUCUUAAGAUGUACGUGUGAUUCACAAGAUGAAUCACAGAUGUAGGGGAUAAUAAUCUAAACUAGUAGAUUCUCUCACCAGCUGAUGAUAUUCCAUGUUUGAGUUUUUUGCAUCUGACAAUUAUGUCUUUAGUGAAACAUUUCACAGGAGUGGAGACGAACAGGCAUCCAGUGCCUCUGCUGUUCAUAUGUCUCUUUUUCGCUCCUGUGUAUGGGAUUGUUAUAAGAAUCUGGAAGACUCCAGGUAUCUUUUAGCCAAAUGACCUGUGGUAUCACGUUCAUGAGCUUGUACUUUAGAUCAGAUAAUAGGGAAGUUUUUCAAAUCAGCACAUUAGUCAUAUGUUGUCUUACCACCACUGGAACGUGUAAAACUUACUCAAAGAUGGGGCCCCAGGCAGAUGCUGUGUGAACAGACCCUACUGAAUCCAACCACAUGAAUCAAGUCCUCUAUGCUGGGGGUAUGCUGAAGCGCAUCGAUGAGCUUGGUGCAUACUAACAUUGAAAAAUAAAAUGCACAUACAACCCAUGGGGGAAUUUCUGUUCUAGUUUAGAGUGCCAGGAGCUUGGAAAUACAUUUUCGGUCUAACUUCUGGUUUAUCCCUAUCAUUGGGGCAUGUUUGACCACAUAUGACACCACAGCAGAAUCACAGAAUGCAGGGCUAGGAGAGACUUUCUGGCCCAUCUGUCACAAAGACUAGGAGAUUGAAACCCCUCCUGACAUGUAUGUCUAAUCCAGUCUUCAAAACUGCCUACAAUAAUAGCAAUUCCAGAGUCUCUGCAGAGAGAUCUGACAUCCAGAAUUACUGCCUCAUGUUUCACCAGAUUUCCCAUGCUACAGCUCAAGUUCAUGACUUCUGCUGUCCCCACAGACAAGUUCAUUCCUUUCCUCUUCUCAGCAGCCUUUCAAGUAGCUUGAAGACCUAACCAUGUUUCAUCUCAGUCUUCUCUCAUUUGUAGAUGGACCACUGGAUUCGAGGAUCUUUUUCCCACCGUAAUUAUUCUAUUCUAUGAAUCUGUAUUUGCAUGCAUACAGAACCCGAUGAAAGUGGCUUAUCAAGAUGAUGUGCUAGCUUAGACUGAACACUGAAAUAGGCUUUUUCCAACUGAAAACCUAAUGAGCUAGUAAAUGGAAAGGAUUUGAGUAAAUACAGUAAUGGCUAUCUUGCAUUUGUAAUUUGAUGUUAACCUUGUGAUAUGUUUCUUUUUGUGAUAUUAAGAUUAUGCUUCCUCUUCCUUUUCAAGCAAAUUUUGCCCUACUUCUCAUUUAAUGAACAGAUGUGAAAGUUUACUGUACUGUUUUUCAGGUGAUCAGAAAUAAUGUCCUGCUAGAAAAGGUAAUUAUUGUUGGAACUAACCAGACCUACCUACAUCACCCAAGCUUACAGAUCAAGGUUUGAAAAAUACAUUUGCCUCAAGUGCUGGGACCAGCACAUGUAUGUAUGUAACCAAGUUGCCAGGCAAGAAUUCUGCCCACCCUUUUGAAAGCAAAGAUUACAUGUGCAAAAAAAGAGAAAAUAAGAGUAAGCUGGGUGAAAAAAAAAAAAGAAAAAUAAUUGAGUACUAGGGAAAAAUCACACUGGAAAUGCUGCAAGGAUUUAACUGUGAAGACCAUUACAGUAACCUCUUAAAGGGAAUGUUAAGUCUCCAUCUCUUUAUAUUUUCUGAUUAAGAUUUUAUGUAUUGCUGGAAGGGAUUAUUUAAAUCAGCAUAAGAUAUAAUCCCUAAGCUUCAUAUAUCUCUUCAUCACUGCCUUUUUCAUGGUCACUGUUCUUGCAGCCAGUGGGAUGAGUCCUGUGGGAUGCUGAGCCUCCUGGUCUCAUAUGAGCAGGACUCUUAGCACUGCAGGCACAAGUGCUCCCAGCAAGGUUCGUUUGCACAUACCUACAACUCACCACGUUCUAAAAUCUCUUGCAGGAUCAAGGCCAAGAGGUUCACACUUUGGCAAGGUUCUUUCAGUUCAUUUAAAAAAAAAAAAAAAAAAAAGAAAGAAAACUCCAAUCUGGAUGAGAUUAAGGAAUCAGAGUUUUGUCCAGGGCAGGCCACUACUCAUUUGCAGUAGUGCAGUAAACUGGCUUUGCAUGUCUGAAAGAGUGAGCAAUCUCACACACUGGUUUGUGGCCAAAAGAGAAAAUGGGAUGAGCCAAGGAAGAGCCUUAUCUUUAUUAUCUUCCUUUUAUCCUGGGGCUACAGGGAGCCCAGGUCUUUGGCCAUUUUCCAUUUUCCACACUGUGAGAAUCCUCCCUCUCUACGAGCACAGAGAGGCAGUUGAAGCCAUGCCGUCAGUACAGGGGUCAGGCAACAACGUCAGGAGCAUUUCAACAACCUGCCACCAUCAAUCUGAGCUUCUCUUCCAACACAAUAUCAAUGGGAACCAUAUUCCCACCCGUGAAGAACUUGGAGCACAGAUCCUGCCUUAUUUCAGUGCUCUGUCUCCCCUAGAGACUGCUGGCAAGCCAGCCAUUCCCCUUUGGAAUGAACAUUUGGAGCAUCCAACCUCAGUGCAGAAUCAAAGUGUGUUGGACUAGAUGGCCUUUAUUGGCCCCAACUCAAAUGAUUCUAUGAUUCUACGUCUGUGAUGAGCCCCUCUCUUCAUUAGGGCUAUGUCUUAUCUCUAUGAGGAAUAAGAGGGAAAGGAAGAAAUUGGAAGCACAAGUUUCACAAGGCAAUGGCUCAGAAUGGACCAAGCAUGCCAGGAUGCUGUGGCACUCUAUCAAAAUGUGCCCAGGAUGAGGCAAAUCAGUGGAUAAAUGGUGGGAGGGCAUUUUCCUUGCCAGGACCAAAGGAUGCUACAUACAAAGAUGGGAUGCCUCCAAGACAUACAGGAGUGAGGCUGUCAGCAGCACCCACAGAAGAUGCCACCAAGGAGAAUCACAAGCUGUCCUUCAAAUGCCCUGGACUUUAACAGGAUUUAAAGGGUGGGAUUAAUUAUAGCUACAGGCUACAAUUAGGCAGGCUUGUAGUCAGAGCUAUUUAUCUGUGUUUUCUCUACAGUCAGUUGGGAAUGAGACGUCUCCAGAGGACACUCCAUCCCCACAAAGAAUGAGCUGUCCUUAAGAGCUCUCUCUGUGGAAUUAAGGUCUGCUGAACCUCAGCUAACUUGAUGUCCCAUUGUGGACUUUGACACAGUUCAAAGGUGCAAAAGUUGAACCUACACUUGCAUAUGAAAGAUGGAGACCAUGCUGGGCAUGAGAUCGGCCAGAGCAAGUGCAAGCCCCAGCAUUUCUAGCACUGGUCACAGUCAUAGAGACUGCCCACGAGGCUCCCAGAAGGAGGAAUAAUAUCAGCAGAAGGAGCAUGGAGUGCUUUACGAUGACCAUGAAUUUAGCAAGGAAUAAACACUGCCACACUGCCUUGUCCAGCAGGAAAGCAGAAGACAUAGAAUCCUAGCUAUGCCUCCUGCAGUCUGCACUACUGCCAGACAUCAAAGAGAUGCUGGUUACUAGAAACAUGCUCCAUAUCAAAGAGGUUCUGCUGAAGGCUCCCAAAGCACACAAUUCCAUUGAUAUGGACUGACAGAAGUAAUCUACAGUGCUUGUAGGAUUGCAGCCUCCUGUGGGAUGAGCCCAGAGAGGUGGAGGUGGCAGCCAGGGAUCUGGGGGCGAAGAUGGAAAUAGUGAAGGGGUCCCCUUGUACCCUUUCUCUGCCAGCCACACAUAGCCAGCAUUAAACAGGGCAGGAGGAACAAGGACAGGAGAAAAUUCAAGCAGAGAAUGGAGAACCAUGGAGCUGAAAAAUAAACAGGUUGUUCAAGAUUAAGAGCAGUCCCAGCAGCGGGUGUGGAAACGAGACAGCACUGGCUGGGAAAGAGCAGAACAAGUGGGGAUGUGCAUCACUGGAAAAAUGACAGUGAAGAGAUUAUCAAAACUCAGCAGCUGCUCAUUUUUGAAACAGAAUCCUAAAGCAAACAUUUUAUUUCUGCUGCAUCAGGCAGGCUUUAAGCGGUUUAAAAAGACUUGCUAUGGCAGGACUAUAUUUAACCAAGAACACAUACAAAUGAGAUGCAUAUAAACAUGCAGUGUGGACUACCUUUACUCAACGUAUGCCAAAUGAAAUGUAGAAAACAAGAAAGGAAGUGAAAUCUCUUAAUAGGUUCCAUAAAACCUCUUGUAUUGUCUUUUCAAUCUCAAUCAGCAUCAAGAAGGAAGGAGCAGAAAGUGUUCUUGGAUACCCAGCGCUGAAAAAUACCUCACUGUUCAAAAAUCUUAGCUUUUAUCUGCUCCAAUUUUGUUUUGCUCGCCUUGAAAAAUAUGGGUUUAAUAUUCAUGAUGGAUUUAAGCUUCAUGAAAAUAAAAUACCUAACACAUUGCCAAUAAAGAGUUUAGUUUCCCAGAAGAAUGAAAUCUA